UUUCAAGCCCGCACAUAAUGGACAGCGUGGGAAUAUCUACAAUAGGGGACAGCCCAUCAUAGACCACAGGAAUCCAUACCCCCAUGGAAAGUUGUGAGGUGAGGAUAAAUACAAACAUAGAAAGUAAAGCUUAGUCCGAAAAUGAAUAGAGAGGAAAUGGAAUUAGAAAGGGGAUGAAUUGGUUACUUGGCAGCUUGACGUGCUCUCGGCCUUUACUAGGCUAGCUUUUGCUAUAUGUGAUAAGGAAAAUGGGAAGAAUUGGGGGCGCUUCGCUCUUUAAAGGAGUUUUGUUUCCGGCCCAAUUACAAUUCCCUCUGUUUCUUUGGUCCAGAGUAAAAAAAAAGCCCAUGCCAAUAAUCCCCCUUGAUGAAAAAAAUAUAUCUGUACCUUCUUCCCUAAGGUAUCGAUGGAAAAAAGAAAAAAUAGACAAGCUAGAUCGGGGAAGGAACAGAACAGCAAGCAAAUAGCUAAGGAACAGAAAAUGAAAGCCUCUACAGUACUUGUAUAUUUCUAAAGCAACGAACGAAGCAGAAAGAAUACUGAGCAAACACUCCAAACUUGCAGCCAGUCAAGAAAUCCACAGAUGCCUGUUCAAGCAAUGUGCUGAUGGUACAAAAUCCGAGACAAGAAAACAA
rnacentral:lncRNA from 1 species